CCCGUACCGCAAACCGACACAGGUAGUCAAGAUGAGAAUUCUAAGGUGAGCGAGCGAACUCUCGUUAAGGAACUCGGCAAAAUGACCCCGUAACUUCGGGAGAAGGGGUGCUCUUUAGGGUUAACGCCCAGAAGAGCCGCAGUGAAUAGGCCCAAGCGACUGUUUAUCAAAAACACAGGUCUCUGCUAAACCGUAAGGUGAUGUAUAGGGGCUGACGCCUGCCCGGUGCUGGAAGGUUAAGAGGAGUGGUUAGCUUCUGCGAAGCUACGAAUCGAAGCCCCAGUAAACGGCGGCCGUAACUAUAACGGUCCUAAGGUAGCGAAAUUCCUUGUCGGGUAAGUUCCGACCCGCACGAAAGGCGUAACGAUUUGGGCACUGUCUCAACGAGAGACUCGGUGAAAUCAUAGUACCUGUGAAGAUGCAGGUUACCCGCGACAGGACGGAAAGACCCCGUGGAGCUUU
rnacentral:rRNA from 1 species